rnacentral:rRNA from 1 species
AGAACGAACGCUGGCGGCAGGCCUAAUACAUGCAAGUCGAACGCACUCUUCGGAGUGAGUGGCAGACGGGUGAGUAACGCGUGGGAACCUUCCCAAUGGUACGGAAUAACUCCGGGAAACCGGUGCUAAUACCGUAUAAGCCCCUCGGGGGAAAGAUUUAUCGCCAUUGGAUGGGCCCGCGUCGGAUUAGCUAGUUGGUAAGGUAAUGGCUUACCAAGGCUACGAUCCGUAGCUGGUCUGAGAGGAUGAUCAGCCACACUGGGACUGAGACACGGCCCAGACUCCUACGGGAGGCAGCAGUAGGGAAUCUUGGACAAUGGGCGAAAGCCUGAUCCAGCCAUGCCGCGUGAGUGAAGAAGGCCUUAGGGUUGUAAAGCUCUUUUGGCGGGACGAUAAUGACGGUACCCGCAGAAUGAGCCCCGGCUAACUUCGCGCCAGCAGCCGC